GACGAACGCUGGCGGCGUGCCUAAUACAUGCAAGUCGAGCGAAGUUUUUCUGGUGCUUGCACCGGAAAAACUUAGCGGCGAACGGGUGAGUAACACGUAAAGAACCUGCCUUAUAGACUGGGACAACUAUUGGAAACGAUAGCUCAUACCGGAUAACAGCAUUAACUGCAUGGUUGAUGUUUGAAAGUUGGUUUUGCUAACACUAUGAGAUGGCUUUGCGGUGCAUUAGCUAGUUGGUGGGGUAAAGGCCUACCAAGGCGACGAUGCAUAGCCGACCUGAGAGGGUGAUCGGCCACACUGGGACUGAGACACGGCCCAGACUCCUACGGGAGGCAGCAGUAGGGAAUCUUCCGCAAUGGGCGAAAGCCUGACGGAGCAACGCCGCGUGAGUGAAGAAGGAUUUCGGUUCGUAAAGCUCUGUUGUUAGGGAAGAAUGAUUGUGUAGUAACUAUACACAGUAGAGACGGUACCUAACCAGAAAGCCACGGCUAACUACGUG
rnacentral:rRNA from 1 species